rnacentral:rRNA from 1 species
AACGAACGCUGGCGGCAGGCUUACACAUGCAAGUCGAACGGUAACGGGCCUUCGGGUGCCGACGAGUGGCGAACGGGUGAGUAAUGUAUCGGAACGUACCUUUCAGUGGGGGAUAACGUAGCGAAAGUUACGCUAAUACCGCAUAUUCUGUGAGCAGGAAAGCAGGGGAUCGCAAGACCUUGCGCUGAUUGAGCGGCCGAUAUCAGAUUAGCUAGUUGGUGAGGUAAAGGCUCACCAAGGCGACGAUCUGUAGCGGGUCUGAGAGGAUGAUCCGCCACACUGGAACUGAGACACGGUCCAGACUCCUACGGGAGGCAGCAGUGGGGAAUUUUGGACAAUGGGGGCAACCCUGAUCCAGCCAUGCCGCGUGAGUGAAGAAGGCCUUCGGGUUGUAAAGCUCUUUCGGCCGGGAAGAAAUCGUAUCAGCUAAUACCUGGUGCGGAUGACGGUACCGGCAUAAGAAGCACCGGCUAACUACGUGCCAGCCGCCGCGGUAACAC